AUGCCUGCGGCAGGUGUAGAUACCUCAGCUUGGAGCUGCGGUGCGGGGACGCGCCUGCAGGCCUGCCUCCAGACUACUCUGGUGAGCCGAGGCAGUCCUCAACCUUGCUCUUCUUCCUCGGGCCCGCAGGGGAGCUUUGAUCCCCUCUCUCAGGUUGCGAACGCCCAGAUCCAGACUGAGCCUUUCUCUGGGAUCGGUGGGGACAGACCAGGCUGCAGCCCCCAACUGCUCGGUCCUGUCACGUCUCUCGCUACCCUCAGGGUGUGCCCUACACCGCGGCGUCCGCCUCAGAUGCAGCCGCCCGCUACCCGGCCCGAGGCGACGCAAAAUGACGUCUCGCUCACGCACGCGCUCGGGAGAGACGCUCUAAGCUGGCGGAGGACCACGUCUUUAUGGUGUGUCAGGAGCCGCGCCGGCCGGGAGUUGGGUGAGCUGGGGGGCGCCCGUGCCCGCGCGCCGCCCGCCCUAGCUGGGCUAGUGCUGCACAUUCCAGCCAGCCCCCUCCCCAAGACCCCAUUCCCAAUCCCCUUCUCAGCUCCCUCGGGCCGGCAGAGCGGCUCUGAUCAGAUCAUGAGGACCUGGCGCGGGAGCCUUCAUCUGAGGAUGUCCCAGGCGUUCACAUGUUGUGCCAGACUAUCUGCAGGAGUGGUCCAGUGACAGCGAAGAUGAGGAGGACCCAG
ensembl:lncRNA